rnacentral:rRNA from 2 species
GUCGAACGAUGAAGCCCUUCGGGGUGGAUUAGUGGCGAACGGGUGAGUAACACGUGGGCAAUCUGCCCUUCACUCUGGGACAAGCCCUGGAAACGGGGUCUAAUACCGGAUAACACUUCCUGCCGCAUGGUGGGGGGUUAAAAGCUCCGGCGGUGAAGGAUGAGCCCGCGGCCUAUCAGCUUGUUGGUGGGGUGAUGGCCUACCAAGGCGACGACGGGUAGCCGGCCUGAGAGGGCGACCGGCCACACUGGGACUGAGACACGGCCCAGACUCCUACGGGAGGCAGCAGUGGGGAAUAUUGCACAAUGGGCGAAAGCCUGAUGCAGCGACGCCGCGUGAGGGAUGACGGCCUUCGGGUUGUAAACCUCUUUCAGCAGGGAAGAAGCGAAAGUGACGGUACCUGCAGAAGAAGCGCCGGCUAACUACGUGCCAGCAGCCGCGGUAAUACGUAGGGCGCAAGCGUUGUCCGGAAUUAUUGGGCGUAAAGAGCUCGUAGGCGGCUUGUCACGUCGGAUGUGAAAGCCCGGGGCUUAACCCCGGGUCUGCAUUCGAUACGGGCUAGCUAGAGUGUGGUAGGGGAGAUCGGAAUUCCUGGUGUAGCGGUGAAAUGCGCAGAUAUCAGGAGGAACACCGGUGGCGAAGGCGGAUCUCUGGGCCAUUACUGACGCUGAG